rnacentral:lncRNA from 1 species
GGUCUAAUGGGAGCCUAUGUUAUUCGUCAACCGAGUGUCGAGGGGCCACUGGGAUUGUCAUAUGGUGAAGAAUAUGACCAUCCGUUGAUUGUUUUUGAUCGUGGUUUUCGAGUAGACGGUUCGAUUUACAUGAAUUCUACUGGAAAUAAUCCUUCUAUACAUCCUCAAUGGCAACCUGAAUAUUUUGGUGAUGCAAUUAUUGUCAAUGGUAAGGCAUGGCCUUACAUGAGGGUAAAACGAAGGAAGUAUCGUUUUAGGAUCAUCAAUGCAAGUAAUGCAAGGUUCUUUAAGUAUUUCUUCACUAAUAAUAUGACGUUUAUCCACGUGGCAUCCGAUUCAGCUUACCAUGAACGACCCGUGGUACUCCAUGACCUACUAUUAGCUCCAUCAGAAAUAGCUGAUGUGAUUGUUGACUUUUCAAAGUCAAAGUCAAACUCGACCAUCUUAGCCAAUGACGCACCAUACCCU